CGGAGGUGGCGAGCGUUGUCCGAAGUUACUGGGCGUAAAGCGCGCGUAGGCGGGUUGUUAAGUGAGGGGUGAAAGGCUGAGGCUCAACCUCAUGUUUGUCCUCUCAUACUGGCAGUCUUGAGUGAGGCAGGGAGAAGUGGAAUGGCUGGUGUAGCGGUGAAAUGCGUAGAUAUCAGUCGGAACACCGGUGGCGAAGGCGGCUUCUUGGGCCUUUACUGACGCUGAGGCGCGAAAGCUGGGGGAGCGAACGGGAUUAGAUACCCCGGUAGUCCCAGCCGUAAACGAUGGACACUAGGUGUCGGGGGUAUCGACCCCUCCGGUGCCGCAGCUAACGCAUUAAGUGUCCCGCCUGGGGAGUACGGCCGCAAGGUUG
rnacentral:rRNA from 1 species